rnacentral:rRNA from 1 species
UACGGAGGGUGCAAGCGUUAAUCGGAAUUACUGGCGUAAAGCGCGCGUAGGCGGUUUGAUAAGUCGAUUGUGAAAUCCCCGGGCUCAACCUGGGAAUUGCAGUCGAGACUGUCAGACUAGAGUGUGGGAGAGGGUGGUGGAAUUCCCGGUGUAGCGGUGAAAUGCGUAGAUAUCAGGAGGAACACCGGUGGCGAAAGGCGGGGUCUCUGGGGCAGUAACUGACGCUGAGGAGCGAAAAGCGUGGGGGAGCGAACAGG